rnacentral:rRNA from 1 species
GACGAACGCUGGCGGCGUGCUUAACACAUGCAAGUCGAACGGUGAAGCUCCAGCUUGCUGGAGUGGAUCAGUGGCGAACGGGUGAGUAACACGUGAGCAACCUGCCCCAGACUCUGGAAUAAGCGCUGGAAACGGCGUCUAAUACUGGAUACGAGAUCAAGCCGCAUGGUUAUGGUCUGGAAAGUUUUUCGGUUUGGGAUGGGCUCGCGGCCUAUCAGCUUGUUGGUGAGGUAAUGGCUCACCAAGGCGACGACGGGUAGCCGGCCUGAGAGGGCGACCGGCCACACUGGGACUGAGACACGGCCCAGACUCCUACGGGAGGCAGCAGUGGGGAAUAUUGCACAAUGGGCGAAAGCCUGAUGCAGCGACGCCGCGUGAGGGAUGACGGCCUUCGGGUUGUAAACCGCUUUCAGCAGGGAAGAAGCGAAAGUGACGGUACCUGCAGAAGAAGCACCGGCUAACUACGUG